CAGAGUGUCCACGUGGCUGAACUGUUUCCAGAGAAGAGCCUCCUGCCUCCCCCCAGGUCAGACAUGAAGCCCAUCGUCCUCUCAGUGCUUGUGCUAAUGUUCACACUCAGAGGAGCACGAGCCCAGACAGUGACUCAGCCUGAGGAAAGCACCUCUGUCAUUGAAGGGGCCCCAGUGCAGGUGAAGUGCAGCUACUCAUCUUCAUUGAGUCCUGUGCUCUUCUGGUAUGUCCAGUACCCCAAUCAAGGUCCUCAGUUAUUCCUGACACACACCUCAAGAAAAAGCAUCAAAGGUUUCACAGCCAACCUUAACAAGGGUGAGAAGUCCUUCCAUCUGAAGAAGCUAUCAGCUCAAAAGGAAGACUCAGCCAUGUAUUACUGUGCUCUGAGUGACACAGUGACUGGUUUUACAAGGGAAGCAGAGCACAAACCCUUUGGGAGUUACAGAAAAUAUUUCUUUGUCAGUUCUCUACUUGGCCACAGUGGGGCGCUCUUUCUCUAG